rnacentral:rRNA from 1 species
GGGCCCGCACAAGCAGUGGAGCAUGUGGUUUAAUUCGACGCAACGCGCAGAACCUUACCAGCCCUUGACAUCCCGGUCGCGGACUCCAGAGAUGGAGUUCUUCAGUUCGGCUGGACCGGAGACAGGUGCUGCA